ACGCGUAGACGGUUUUGUAAGUCAGACGUGAAAUCCCCGGGCUCAACCUGGGAACUGCAUUUGAGACUGCAUGGCUAGAGUAUCGAAGAGGGAAGUGGAAUUUCCGGUGUAGCGGUGAAAUGCGUAGAUAUCGGAAGGAACACCAGUGGCGAAAGCGACUUCCUGGUCGAAUACUGACGUUCAUGUGCGAAAGCGUGGGGAGCAAACAGGAUUAGAUACCCUGGUAGUCCACGCCAUAAACGAUGACAACUAGAUGUUGGGAGGGUCUGCCUCUCGGUGUCGCAGCUAACGCGUUAAGUUGUCCGCCUGGGGAGUACGGCCGCAAGGUUGAA
rnacentral:rRNA from 1 species